UAUUUAUUGUAAAAUAUUAUCUACUUCUAGAAUGACUCGAAUUUGCAUUUUUUUGAUUUGUGUUGCAUUUUUUGCUCUAAUUGAUGCACGACCAAAAAAUGCUCGGUUGAGAGAUUCAAAGAAAAACUCAGAACUUAUCAAAUUGAAUGACCAGUCAUUGGGGCAAAAACUUAUUAACAAGGCAAAAAUCCCUUUAGAUCAAGUGAAAAGUCCUAUAAAGAGUGAUACUUCUUCAAAAAAGGAACGCAAGUGCACAUCUGUUUUGCACUUUUGUUGGCCACCUGGAAAAGAUUCUGCGCCUUUAAGUUAACGAAUAAAAUAACAAGACCUUGAUAAUGCUAUUUUUGAUACUGCUAUUUUUUACGGAGUUUUUUUAUAUAUUUGGCGAAAAGUUUUUCUGAUGUGCCUAUCUGAUUUAUAUUAAAUAAAAAUUUUUUUUGUAUAAUUAGUGUUGACGAAAAAAGUACAGUUUUUAAA
rnacentral:sRNA from 1 species